rnacentral:rRNA from 1 species
GACAGAGGUGCCGAGCGUUAGGCGGAAUCACUGGGCUUAAAGCGUGUGUAGGCGGGCGGGCAAGUACCUUGUGAAAUCCCACGGCUCAACCGUGGAACGGCUGGGUAUACUGCCUGUCUUGAGCCAACUAGGGGCGAGCGGAACAGACGGUGGAGCGGUGAAAUGCGUAGAUAUCGUCUGGAACGCCAAAGGUGAAAACGGCUCGCUGGGGUUGCGCUGACGCUGAGACACGAAAGCCAGGGGAGCGAACGGG